AACGAACGCUGGCGGCAGGCCUAACACAUGCAAGUCGAGCGAGGACUUCGGUUAUAGCGGCGGACGGGUGAGUAACGCGUGAGAAUGUGCCCUUCUCUACGGAAUAGCCCUGGGAAACUGGGAGUAAUACCGUAUACGCCCUAUUGGGGAAAGAUUUAUCGGAGAAGGAUCAGCGCGCGUUGGAUUAGGUAGUUGGUGGGGUAAUGGCCUACCAAGCCGACGAUCCAUAGCUGGUUUGAGAGGAUGAUCAGCCACACUGGGACUGAGACACGGCCCAGACUCCUACGGGAGGCAGCAGUGGGGAAUCUUAGACAAUGGGGGCAACCCUGAUCUAGCCAUGCCGCGUGAGUGAUGAAGGCAUUAGGGUUGUAAAGCUCUUUCAGCUGGGAAGAUAAUGACGGUACCAGCAGAAGAAGCCCCGGCUAACUCCGUG
rnacentral:rRNA from 1 species